UAGCUGUAAACGAUACUCGCUAGGUGUCGGCCACGGUGCGACCGUUGUCGGUGCCGUAGGGAAGCCGUGAAGCGAGCCACCUGGGAAGUACGGCCGCAAGGCUGAAACUUAAAGGGAAUUGGGCGGGGGGAGCACCACAACGGGUGGAGCUUGCGGUUUAAUUGGAUUCAACGCCGGAAAUCUUACCGGGACCGACAGCAACAUGAAGGCCAGGCUGAAGACUUUGCCGGAUUAGCUGAGAGGUGGUGCAUGGCGUAGUCGUGU
rnacentral:rRNA from 1 species